AGCUGCCCAGCUACAGAGAAGCAAACUCCAACUCCCAGAAGCCCCUGCGCGGAGGCGGGGCGGGGGUUUGCCAGGCCCCGAAACGCCAACGCCUGAGCUCGCGGAGGAUGGCGGGAACUGGAAGAGCGGCGGUCUGCAGUCCUCCCCUCAUACCCUUUCCCCCGCGACCCGGCCCCUUCUCAAGCCCUCUGCACGGCCAAAGUGCCAUAAUACUGUCACAAUUUCCUGGGGGAUCUGCACAGCGCGAUCCGAAGACUUGUCCAUUCUAUGAGGGUUCUUGUUGAGUGUCAGCGGUAGAUUUUUUUUUCUCUUUAAGAAGAAGAAAAAAAAACCCUCAAAAAACUCCGUUGGAAUAAACACAGUUUUUAAUCCACAAAAGCAUUUUGUUUCUCACGAGUUACCAUGAAGUCUCUGCAGCUGGCUUUCUUAGCGAUUUUUUAAAGGAACACAAGGUCAGCUUUCAAUUUUCCAUGUUAAGCGUGGGCAGCAUAGAUGAGUAAAAGCUGCCCUUAAUCUCCAACCCUCCUUUGUAAAGGGCUUGUGCUCUGGAGGCUGUUAGCCGUGGUUUUCCUUAUAAACCGAGAGACUGGUCAGAGUAUCUCUGAACCUCAGCCUCCACAUCUGUAAAAUGGGCAUUUUACUCCCUUUUCUGGGUAAUUGUAAACCAUAAUAGAAUAAAGCAGUGUACACUGCACAGUUCAGAUUCUAAUAUAACAGGUACUAAGCAAAUUAUAGUUCCCUCUUCUUCUCCAGAUAGAUUCUUACAGUGAAUUUUACUUCUUACAAAAUCUUCCAGAGACAGGUCAAAUACUGUUGCAAUAACUGUUAACCAAAAUAUCAGUUUCAAGAUGUCCAAGCUUUAAUUGACAGAGUUAUUUAAUCAGUUGGAUGGAAAAAAUCUUAAAUGAUAUAAAAGAAUUUGGACAGGUCUUUCAAGUUUAUUGUAUAGAAAUUGAACUGUUGGCCUGGUACAGUCACUCACGUCUGUAAUCCCAGCAGUUUGGGAGGCCAAGGCAGGUGGAUAGCUUGCGCCCAGGAGUUGGAGACUAGCCUGGGCAACAUAUCAAGACUCUGUCUCAAAAAUAGAUAAAUUAAUUGAAAUUGAACUGUUUUGGUCACUAAGCAUGCCUGACUGACUCCAGGUUCACCUCCUUUUCCCUUCCCCUUUAGUCCCCAGGAGGAAGAAUUAAUAAGGAAUAAAGUGGUCAAAAAGCUGGCAAAGUAGAGGGUCAAAGGUAAACAGUGAACAUACAGGUCUCACGUUCACCCCAAAAGCACGUAUGUACAGCUGUAUACUAGGCAGUGGUGGUGGAAGAAGGGAAGUGCCAAAAUAGAGGGUACUUUUCUGCUGCUAAUAGCUGAGAAGAGGUUUUUUACAUAAAAAACAUAAUAGACGCUCAAAAUGUGUUGAAUGACUUAUACAUUUCCUUUUACAUGUAUUAUUUCCUAUCUCUUGAUUUAGUACUUUCUGUUGGAUGUUUUUACACUAGGAAAUUUCUGUACUAUAACAGAGCACAUCUACAAAACAUUUAAUCCGAUUCAUUUCAUUGCAUGCCUAAUCGAUAAAGAGUAAUGCAUAAAAACACAUUCUGCAUGAUCAUUUAGUUGCUUUUCUUGGAUUAUAGUACUUGAAUCAUCCAGCCUCCAAAGUAUCACUUUAAAGCCUGUACUCAAACUACCAAACAAUAGUUUUCUCAUUUUCUUAAUCUGAGUAACAGAUUAUGGAGUUAAGUGAGGCAAGAAAUCCCUCGAUCAAUAAAUGGAAAUGGAGUCAUAAUGAAAACACAAUUUAAAAAAUAUCUUCUUAACAGGAAGUAGUUAUGUAAAUCCUCAGUAAGCAUCAAGACUCUUCUUUGUUUAAGCUGUGUAUGAAAGUGGUACAGAUUUGGGUUGCAGGGUGAAAUAUGUUCAACGUACUAAUAAGAACCCCAGGGAACUUCUAGGGCAUAGGGCUCUUCUCCACUACCCACCUCAAAUAGUAUUGGACAGUUUAUUUUGUGUUUAUAGCCUUUCUCCUAGUUUAAAUGUGUACGUAUAUACCAUGCACACGUGCGUGUGCACACAUACUUAUUGUAAGGGUUUUUUACACUUUAAUUUGUAGUGGGCUAAAACGAGAUGACCAGGAAACUGUACACUAGGUAAAAGAUUUUUAAAGAGUUCAGAUGCCUGCUUAGGAGGAGCUAAUAGGGGAGAGAAAACUAGGGUGGUGGGGGGGCUAGUGGGGGGAAAGGACGUUGAACAAUGUAACCAAACCCAAUUAGAGACUUAAGACAAAACUUCAGCUGGGAUUUGGAAAAAAAAAAAAAAAAGAGAGAGAGAGAGAGA